GAUCAACCCAUCUCUUCUUUCCUUAUUAACACCAAAACCCUAAACCUAAUUCAUUCCUCUAAUCUUCUAAACCAAAUCAGCCGCCCCACCCCCUCUCUCUCUCGUCUCUCUCUAAAAAAUCGACCAUCGCCAAAGCCAAAACCGGCGCCUCCUCCGGCAACGCAGCAACCAACCUCCGCUGGUCAAGCUACCGCGAUCCCUCCGUUCUUCGACCAAGCCCCGCGCCACCAGAAGCCCUCAAACCACGCCUCCGACGACCUCUUCCAUUUCCUUCAAACCACCAGCCAACUUUGCCUCUCCGGCGAAGCUCCAAACGUCGCUGUUCCGCCUCCACAACAACAACAGCAACGAUGCUCUGCCGCCCCUCUCCUUUGCCAUCGCCAGACAUCAGUUUGCCUCCGUCCCAAUUCACCACCCACAACAACAAAAACAACAGCGGCAUUGCCGCCCUUUGCCGCCGCUGCUCCGGUCGAGUACACGAAACAUGACGGAUUCUUAAAUCCGUCAAAGGUUUGAUUUAUUGUUCAAUUUCAUUUCUUUCCUUAAGAUAUAAUCUGCGAUCUGAAAUUGAUGAAACUGGUUUAAGAGUUUUGAUAUAAUUUUUUAUAAUAUGAAUUUGUUAACGUGCUUAGGUCGUCAUAUAAAGUUUUGAUUUUAGUGAUGUUUAAUUACGCCCUAAAUAUUUUUGAAUUGGUGGUUGAUUGAUAUUCAUAUUCAGCUUGUGGAAUCAUUGUUCUAGCUUGUGAAAUUGUUAUUCUUGCUUAUGGGUUGCAUUUUUCUGAUCUAUUCAUUGGCAAAAUAUUUGAUGCAUAGGUGGAUAGAUUCUUCUUAAUCGUGAUGGAUUUGACACUUAGUGUUUGUAGUGAAGAAUAUUUGAUUUAACUGAUACAAUGAGAUUGAUUUUUGUGAUCAAAUUUUGGGCAUAAUCAAAUUACCGUGAUAAUGAAAUGUUAUACUUGAUCAUCUGUCCAAUCUUAUCGCAUAUGGUAAAUAUUGAAACUGAUGCAUUUUAUUCAUUCUUUUGUCCACCUAAUUACGGUAAAUUUGGCUUCUAAUCGAUUCCAUCUAGUUAAUUAACAAAAAUAAUAUUGUUGUUACUUUUCUAAAUAUUGGCUUUCCUUUUAUUCCUUGGAUUGAUUUGUAUGUGAUUGAUUCAGUUAGGAGAAAUUCUCUCUUAAUUGGUUGACAAGAAUAUUGUUUUGAUAUUUUUAUCUUGGUAUGGUUUUACAUUACUUGGCUAUAAAAAUAAAUCCUCCUCGUCCUUUGAGGGGAACUGACACACUAUGAUUUCUAAUCUCCUCUCUACCCUCUCGCAUACAAAAAGACAAAUAUUGAUGUUCCUUUUCUCUGGCAGAACUUACAAUAUAUAUUCCCUCUCCUAUUUUAUUUUGGUCUGAUACACUCUCUAUACGAAAACAUGAAAAGAGAGACACAAUAUUUUUGCUCGUUGCUUUCAAAAUACUUGGUUCAAUCUCUGACUAUAGUUGCUCCCUUUGUUGCAAUAUUCUGAUUUUAUUUUCAUAUUAAUUCACCAAACCGGUUAGUUUUCUUAUUUCAUUUUUCGUAGUCCUAAACUCCUUUAAUGAUGACAUGUUGUCGCUUUUGUGAUUACUUGAAUUAUUUUGUUGUGUUGUCUUUUGUGAUUGUUAUCAUGUUUUAUUCGAUCAAUGUAAGAAUCCGUAUACCAUACAACUUGUUUGUGUUUGUGUACUUUGUGAUGUUCGAGCAGGUACUUUGGUCGAGUUGUGCUAGAAUGUUGCUGUCUUCAUGGAUAUAUCGCCUUGAUUUACUUUUUAUUUCUCUUUUAUUACGAUUCAAAUUUGUACUAAUGUGUUGUGUAAACAUCUAUAUAGUAAUAAAUUAUGAAGACUGCUUGGGAGCGGGGGUUUAUGUGUUUUACGUACCAUGUGAAUCACUUAGGCAAAUAAAUUUAGGAUUUAUUACUUGACUUGUUUGUCAUUUAGACAAAUCUAAUUUAGGAUUUAUUUCAAUCGCCUAGAAAUCAUGUUUUUAGGAGUUUAAUUAAUAUCCGCCUUGCUAAAUCACAUUUGAACACGAUAACUUAAUUUACAACAUGUUUAUUGACUCUUGCAUGUUUAACAAUUGUGGACAUAUUACAAAAUGACAUUAUUAGCGUUUAAAUCACUCUUUCAACAAUUAUACUCUUAGCAUUCAAAAUAACAUUUUUUGGCAUUUUAAAUAAUAUUUUCAACACAUUAAAUAAUGUUUUCUGCAUAUUAAAAUUAAUUUUCAGCACAUUAGUUAAUUUGCAGUAUUAUAAAAUAAUAUUUUUGGCACUAUAAUUAAUUUUCAGCAUUCCUAUUUGUCUUUCCGUAUAUUUCAUUAAUUUUUACUUAGUAAAACAAUUUUCAGCAUCUACGUAUUAAAAAAAAUAGCUUUUUAUUUCUCUGUCAAAGUCAUGGUGCGGUUUUUGACUUUCACAAUUUUAAACUAGACAUGACAUUUUACUCUUUGUACUAUCUCCUAACCUAUAGUUAGCGGGAAAUUAAAAAGAAUCACGAGGUCUAAUUUUUAUAUUUUAAAUUAAUUUGAUACAGUUUCGGGAGCAUCACGUACCAAAAGUUUAAAAAAGCGGAGACUAUGCAUACAUACAUAAAUAUUUUUUUAUUUGUCUUUAAAAAUUAUAAUGUUAUUAUUUUCACUAAAACUGACCUCCAAUUAAAAUUGUUGCUAAGUUGAAUGAGCGCGAUUUGAUAUUGUGGAAUCGUUUCUGUAAAGCAACAAACAGUUUUUUAAGAAACAAAAACUAUCUUCUUUUUUUUUUUUUAAGUUUUGAAUAUUAUUCCUCUAUCAAAAUAAGUUAGCUACUGUGCAUUUUUCUUAUUUCUUUACUUAUUUGGGGUAGUUUAAAAUUUUUUAUUUGCUUAGUAAUUUUUGUUAUGAUUUAUGUCACCUCUUUUUCCUCGCUUGUCUUAUUUACAUAUUUUUAUCGAUUUUAUCACUUAGAUAAUUAAUAAUUAGAAAUGACAAAAAUAGCCUGUGUUUGUUUAUUAAUUACAUUAUCACUUAGUUAACAUUUAAGUUAAUAAAACAAAAGACCUUUAUUUGAACACAUAGAAUCCCCAGGUAAAGUACGAAUUUGGUCAGGAACCACCUUUGUGGACCUCAAAAGGUGCCUAACACCUUCCUUUUGGGGUAAUUUGAACCCUUACCCGAACUCUGGUGAACUAAGACAAAAUAACAAAAUAGGUUCGUAGUUAGCCUAGACCGAUGCCCUAAUGCACCUUAAUUCUUUAGGUGGUGACUCUUCACACUCUUUCUUAACGCAAUCUCAAAAAGAGUUUGUCACGUCAAAUCCGCUUUCCACGAGGAAAAUGGGGCGCGACAACUAUCUCACUGCGAAAUCUUGCAGUCUUGUCAGACGGGAAGAACCGAAUAAAAAAUUUUCUGGCCAUGUUAUCCCAUGAUGUGAUUGAAUUUGCUAGUUCUACAUUCAACCACUUUUUUGCUUCCCUAAUCAGUGAAAAGGCGAAUAAUGCCAUCCUCACAUAAUCUGCAUUCACGCCCGUAGGAAUGAACGUGUCACUGAUUUCCAAAAAAUUUUGCAAGAAGACCUGUGGAUCUUCAUGUGAAAGCCCAAUGAACUGUCCACUGCUAAUCAUAAGUUGUACCAUAUUCUGUUAAGCUUAAAAUUGCCUCUAGCUGUCGGCUUCUGAAACGGGGAGGUCAAAUUGGUUGGAAAUAGGAUUGCCACUUCUGUGACUGUCCUGUGGGUUGCUUGUUCAUCAGCCAUGAUGGCAGGAUUCUCUUGGUCUUCUGUAAUCUGAGGAAUUUGAGGGAGAAUGAUUGCUUCUCUUCUUCAUUGAUGGAAAAGUUGCUCAGGUUCGAAACUUGGUUCUACCAAGUCUUGAUCCCUUGCCAGCUUACUACUUUGUAAACCCGUUUCCUACAAAAAUAAAACCAAGACCAAGCGUAAGAAACACAAAGGAAAUCUAAAAGUAAAACUAAAAUAAACAGUUGUCAAAUUACAAGUCCUCGGUAACGGCGCCAAAAAUUUGACAGCGCCCAAGUGCACAUGCAAGUGUACGUAGUCUAUCAAGUAGUACAGUGACCUUAAGAAAGCGAAGUAUCGAUCCUACAGGGACUUACUGCAACACCGAUUCUAUUCUAGAUCACAGUUUAUAUUAAUUUAGUGCAAGAGUAACCAAGAAAAAGAGUUUUGAAUUUGUAACUCACAAGUAAAGUAAACAAUGCGUAAAAUAAAGGUCUUGAUACAAUCAGUGGAGUAAAUCCCAGGGUUAAAGAACUUCGAACAAUCAUACUAUGUUAUUGAACUUCAUUCGUUAACUUGCUUAUCUUGGUUGUUGAUUCGUAAGGUUAAUUGCAUGAUCAUGAUCUCCCAACCUCUAACCGUUUACCUAAUUUGGACCUUACAACUACAUAGUUGAGUGGGGAUAUAAUAAUCCACUUAGGUGUUUUAAAGCUAUCAUCGUGUUUUAAAGCAAUCAUCCUACAUUUGAAUCAAGUAAGGCAUCUAAGUACAUCCUUAUCCUAGACGUUAAUUUGAAUUUCUUAUUUCAUAAAAGAAUACAAGCCAUACUUUGUUCAUCUCAUUGUUCUAUCUUCUUAUUCCCUCUCCCGGAUCAAAAGGUAGACAAUUGAUGUAUUUUCAGGGUAAUCAAUCCAUCAAAUUGUUAAAUCAAAGAUGAACACACAACCAAUAAUGAUAAGCAAAUUAAACAAACUUAAUUCAAAAUAAUAGUACUCAUGUUCUUGGCUUUAAUCACGAAAGAAGGUUUCUAGCCACUCAUAGUCAUAAUCAUGAUCCAAAAGCUUGAAUACAUGAUAUAAUCUAAAACAAAGAUAAAAAAAUAAUGUAAAACCUAAUAAAAUAUGUAGUUGAAGCUCCUUGAUGUUCCAAGACGUCCAAAGAUGUGUAAAAUAUAUGACACAACAUGUAUUUAUAAUAUAAGAUGCAAGCCUAAUCCAUGUAGGUCAAGAAUUGCAUUAAUUUGAGCAUGGGAGUAGGGGGCGCCGCGCUGGUUGUAGCACCGCUCCAGCCAAGUCUGAGCCUACUUUAGAGCCCCGCUCCAUCCAGGGCGCCGUGGGCUUAUCUGCGUGGCCUCUCUAGAAGUUGCUUCUGAAAUUUUGGCUAAGUGUUGAGUGCCUCCUUCCAUUCCUUGUCUUGUGGCGUUGUUUUCCUUUAAUUUCUAGGUUAUUCAAUAUCAAAAUAUCAUCAUAUCUAGCUCACAAUGCUCCUUAUAUAAUCACACACCAUGAAUUAGAGACAAUCACAACACAAUAUCCAUAACGAUGAAUCAAAACAAGAGCUAAGACUAGGCUAGUUCAUGUUAAUCAUCAACUUAUUAUUCCACCUCUACACUUAAUCAAAUUGAACUUUACUUAUUACCACUAAGUUUUUUCACUCAUAAUUACACAUCAAAACCAUAAAGAACUUUUUAAACACAAUAUAAUCCGACGGGAUCGACUAGAUAAGCACCUAGCUCAAGCUAGUAAUGCUAGUUUCCAUGAUUGAACUCCAAAUGAAUCAUUUAGGUACACACUUGUUUGGAAUUCACUUUGAACAUUGUAAUCACGUACUUUAACACUUAGAUGCAUAUUUAUCUCAUUAUCAACCCAUAUAGCACAUGAAUCAUCCUCAAAACAAGGUUAAAAAGACUAGAAUAGUAACAUUAGAAUGCAUAAAUACACCCAACAUCAACUCUACUCUUUUGCUCGACACUUUUCUUUUAAACUUUGUUGACUCUAUCUUAAUUCCAAAAGAGGGAUAUGAAACAAAAUAGAACUAAAGCUCAAAAAGGGUGAACAAAUAAUGACACAAUAUUUGGAUAGCAAAAUGAAAAGUCUUCUUCAUAUCAAUCCUUGAAAAUUCAAGUAGAUAUCAUGCAAUAUGAAAGUGAAAGAUGAAGAUCAUUUGUGACAUUUUUUACAGCAAUAACUUUAACUGAGUCUGUGCGUCACUACUUCUCCUUCUCUUUGUCCAGCAUACAACUCCACAUUUGUUGUAUAUUCCUCACAUUGAAUGACUCAUGAUUUCGUAGAGCUGAUUUUCUUUAUGUCCCUCUUGACAUAGGAUCACACAUCCACUGUUUGACCUAAUUGAGACAUGUCUUUCAAUUGAUGACCAAGUUAUUCUUGUGAUUCUCAAAAUAAUUGUUUUAAUGUUCAAAGAACGCUUCAACUUGUCACCAAAUGUCUCAGCAAUCUACCUAUUUUCUCAUAUGCUUUUUUUCUAACUUUAGCCCUUUGAUUCAAAGUUCAUGCUUAAACAGGAUUUUAUGAUCUAGCUGAAAAUUCUGCUAGCAUGUCAUAUCAUUAGAACCAAUAUAAAAGGUACUAUGUAAAGAAAACAAACAAACAACACAUAAUUAAAACACAAAGGGAAAAUAGACACUCCAUUUAGUUAAAAUAAAAGAUAGAAUGGUUUGAACAUAAAUGACAAGGGACAAAACCAGAUAGAUCCUGAACUACAACCCUAAAAUAAUUUGGAUAACCGAAAAGAAAACAAAAUAAGCUACCAAACCCCUUCCUAAUAAGGAGAAGAGUGACUUCUCAAUUGAUGAACCUGACAUCAUAGCCACUAGUUUGCAUAUCAGCAUGACUAGAGCUUUCACCACUGUCAAUAUUCUACACCAUAAUCGAUUUAUCUUGAAUCAUCUUUUCUAUUUCCCUUUUCAAAGCACGACAAGCUUCAAUACUGUGACCCUGAAUAUCAGAAUGAUAUGCACAUCAUACAUUAGGAUCAAACUUAUUGAAUGUGGGUCGGGAGUAUACCCAAGGAGAAGAGUGAUCAUGCCCUACUGUACCAAUCUCUAGAAUAAAUUGGCAUACGACUCUCCAAUUAGUGUGAAGCUAUCCCUCAAAUUCUGCCUCUUUUCAUUAGUUGACUUAGAUCGAAAAUCGGGCCUAGAAGGUCUUUGAUAUGUUUGUGGAGUUGGAGAAUGGCUCUGUGGAGUUGGUGCGCACCAUUAUGAGUAAGAAGGGGGUUGAACACAUGGUUUUGCGCUGUAUACUGGGUAUGGAGGUAGGGAAAUAAAGUAUGAUAGAUUUUGGGAGUGAUUAUAUAGAUCUUGGGUAUGAACUGGGACUCAAGACUGAGGAUAACGAUGAUGUGGUCUUCUUGGACAUGCCCGUUGUCCAUCUAUAAUAGCAAUUGCAUCUUCCUCAUUCUUCUUUCCUCUAGUUUUCCUUAAUUGAUUGCAAUAUUGUUCCAAAUAUUUCACGGAAUCCUCAUGUCCAACAUGCUCCUCAAAUUUUGAUAUCUCAAGGUUUGGAGGAAGGUUAACACUCAAAGACAUGCCUAGUUUUUAUAUGAACCAUCUUCUUUACCCGCAAAUCCUAGGGAACAUUUCAUAGCAUUUUCUGUGCUCUUCAUUUUUCCAACCAUUUUCUCUGGCUCUUCUGACACACUAGGCUUCUUGUUAAGAAAUUUUCUCUGGCUCUUCUAACACCAUGAGAUCAAUGAUUCUCAAUAAUCAAACACCAACCAAAAAUCACCCAACAAAUAGAACAGUAAUAUCAAAUCAACAUCUGUAAUCAUAUAAAAAUUAAGAAAUAGAGUUGAGAAAUGGACCUCAAUGAAUCUAAUUUUGUAUGACAGUAAACCAAUCAGCAUACGAUCGAGAUUCUCGAACAGAAAACCUCGACUCCAAACUCGCGAAUUGAAUAAAACCAAAACUAAACUAAUUCCCAAGAAACCCGAACAACUCGUUCUCUAUUUCAAUCGUGUUUUGAUCGGACCUCGGCGGAAUUGAUGGAAAACGGGUUGGGUGUUGUUGAUUGGAUGUCAGCUUUAUGUUUUCGGUGAGAUUCAAACUCGACGGAACUUCGAUGGUUUCAGAUGCAGUGUUCCAGCGAUGGUUCAGCUGAAGCCCAACUUGUCCGUAGACAUUUUCGACGAUCAACUCUCCAAAAAAUUGGAGUUUCACCCCCCCCACUCUCUCUCUAACCUAUUCAACCUAUAUCCUCUUUUUUUCAAAUCUCUCAAACCCUCUCUGAUUGUUCUCUCUUUUUGCCUUGUUUCAGUGUGUAUUUGCCCCCAUUUUCGUGUAUUAUAUGUGUGUGUUUAUAGAAUUCUGUUUAUGUGUGUUUGUGGUAUUUUCUGAUUAUGUGAAUUCUGUGAGUGUAUACGUGAAUUGAAAGUGUGUAUUCUCUUCAAUGGAAAAUGGAGUUUAUCUAUGGUGGUGUGUGUAUCGGCAUAUUAUGGAUGGUGAGUGUAGAUCUGGGUCCUCUUUCAGUGAGGUCCAUAAAUCAGUGUAUAAGUGUAUUUCUUCAUGGAAAAGAAACGUAGGGGAUAGGGUAUGUAAGGGUAGGGGGUUGUGGGGUAGGGUAGUUAGGGUGGUUAGGAUGAGAUUAAAUUUGUUAGGGUGAGGUGUCAAAAUGGUUAUGGAUUUGUUUGUUUGGCUUUUAGUGGGGGGAUUAUCACAUGAUUGAGGGUGCAUGGUAAGACAGGGUAAAUGGUGAAAAUUCAGCUUUCAGGAGGAACAAAAUUAGGUGUCUACAGUAACCAUGAAAAUUCUCAUUUUAUGUAACCACCGGUUUGGUGGUAUUCCAUGAUUUUUUAAUUUUUAAUUAUGCCCUUACUUAAUAUUACAUAAUUUUAUUUUAUCCUUUACCCUAUAUUAUUUUACUUUAUCCCCUAGCUCGACCCCCACCCAUCCACCCCACAAAAAAAUUAUUCUUAAAUUUCUUUUUUAUAAAAUUUCAAAAAAAAAAAAUCUUAUCCCACUCAUAUCAUACCACACCCCAAUUCUUUUAAUUUAUCUUUUUUAAAAAAAAAUCAAAACUUUUUUCUUAACCCCCCUCACACCCUCCCCCAAUCCCACCAAUUUUUAAUUAUUUUUAAAAAAAAUUAAAAAAAUAUUACCCCACCUAUACGCCCCCCCCCUAAAAAAAGUUUAAAUUUAUUUUUAGAAUUUCAAUUUUUUUAAAAUUAUUACCACACUGCUACCCCUACCCCCCUAAAAAAUUAACUUUUUUUUCUUACCCCACCCCACUCCUACCCGACCCUAUAAAUAUUUCCUUGCAAAAUGUUCCUCCAUACCGUACACACCCAUAGCUAGGGGUGUACAUAGGUCGGGUUGAUUCGAUUUUUAUUUACAAAAAACCAACCAAUCAUGUAGGUUUAUUAAAAUUAUAAACCAAAUUAAACCAACAUAAAAUUGAUUUUUUUGGUUUAGGUUUUAAUCGUUUUUUUUGGAUUUUUGAUUUUUUAGAUUUUUUUUAUAAUAUUUAGUUUCUACAAUUAUAUUGUGAUCGAAGACUAGAUCAAAUAUAUUUUCACUCAUGUGCUAAUGAAAAACCAUAAUUAUGAAAAAAUGAGGAGCGAAAAACUCUCUUGAAACUAAAAAGUGAGAUGAAGAGUGAAAAGUUUAGGUUUUAAGUUUAACUUGGGUUUUGGAUCAUUUAAUUAGCAAUUAAUGGACAGAUAUUACAACUUAAAGGUCCAAAUCUAAAUAUAUAUCUACAUCUACUUUCAAAUUAUUGAAAAUUACUAAAGCUAGUUGAAAAAGUAUUUAAAAAAUAGAUUAUAAUUAAUAUUUUAUGUAUAAAAAAGUUCGAUAUUCUCUCUCUCUCUCUCUCUCUCUCUCUAUCUAUCUAUCUAUAUAUAUAUAUAUAUAUAAGUCAAAAAAGAUUGGAAUUGACCAAAAUCCAACACAAAACCAAACCAAGAAUGGUUGUUUUUUUAUUUUCUAACGCCAAACCAUAAAUCGAUUUUUUUUCUCAAUUUGAUUUGGUUCUUCAGUUCGAUUUGACUUGACGGUUUGGUUUGUACACCCCUACCCAUAGUAUAUACAAAAGAUGCAUUCAAACUUUGUACUUUUCGUUGGUUGCCACGUCUCAAAAUAUCAUAAAUAAAUGAAAUUCUUAUUAUAAAAAAAGAUUCCAGUUAAAUUUAUUUUGAUCUACUCUUUCAUUGAUUUUGUUAAAAUUUAUAUGAUUUAACAAUUUUAAUUUUUGACAAAUUAUCAGGAAUAGAAUUAUUUUAAAUUAUUUUAAUAACAAUUAUUGAUAAAUUAACAUUUAUAAUAAUUAAGAGCAUUUUAGUAAACUUACCAGUUAUGAUAUUGUACCAUACCGUUACAUCAAAUAAUAAAAUUGUUAUUAAAUAAUAAUAAAUAAUACAGUCCAUUUAAACAUUGUAUUAUAUUAUAUUGUAUAGUACAAUAUCAUACCAUGUAGUAUCGCACAUUACUAAAUCACGAGACACCACCAUCCACAAACAUAAUGUAAAGGAUUGGAAUCUCGGUGCACAACUAUCUAAAUAAUUUCACCUAUUGUUAAACUUUUUUUUAUAUCGACAUUGUUUAUCUUAAAAGUUUUUGAGUACAUAAUUAAACAAUGUCAUAGAAAACGUAUAAUAUAAUCUAACAUAAAAAAUCAAUUUCAAAAAAAUCUUAUAGAAAUAUCAUUAUAAAAGAUUGAUGGCAUCAUUAUAGAAGAUUGAUAGCAUUAAGAUUUCUUACUGUAAUUACUUCUUUGAAAGCUAUUAAAAGGAAAGCAUGGAACCGAAGAAAAGAAUAAAGAUGUUAUGAAACAAAGACAAAAUAUCAAUAUCAAACCUAAAGAAAUGAGGGAACUUUAGAGAAUUUUAGUACUAUAUUUGUUACUACUUGAAUGUGUUAAUAUAAAUGUACAAAGGGUGGCUAUUUAUAGACCACCAAACUUAGUUCUUAAGGUUAUUAAGUUUGACAUCAAGUUGGCAAGUUGGAAAUUUGGCCAACUAUUUAAGUAUUCAAAUUCAAAUUGAACAAGUAACUUUGGUCUUCAAAUCCAACUUGACUACCAACUAUUAUCUCUAAUAAAUGAUAUUUCACACAUAUACAUGUCACAUGACAUCCAUAUUAUAUAACACUCCCCCUUGGAUGUCCAUUAAUAAAUAAUGUGUCUCGUUAAAACCUUACUAGGAAAAUCCAAUGGGAAAAAGUCUAGUGCAAAAAAAAAGAGUACACACAUCUUGUAAUACGCUUUUAAUGUUGCCUCAUUAAAAACCUUAACAGGAAAAUCCAAUUGGGACAAAACUUUGGUUAAGAAAAAAAGAGUACAAUGCGUAUUUUACUUCCCCUGAUAAAAAUUCAAUCUAAUGACUUGAAUCUCCACAUUUCAAUCAUGUGCACCAUCUUCUCAAAAGUUGUAGUUGAUAGAGACUUGAUGAAUAAAUCAACAGUAUUAUCACUUGAACGAAUCUGUCGCACCUUGAUACCAUCAUUCUCCUGGAGCUCAUAUAUGUAGAAAAGUUUUGGCGAAAUGAGUUUCGUUUUAUCUCCUUUUAUGAAUCUUCCCUUUAAUUGCCUAUGCAUGGUGCAUUAUCUUCAUAUAAAAUUGUAGGCACUUUAUCACAUUUCAGAUCACAUAUUUCUCGGAUGAGAUGUAUCAUGGAUCUCAACCACACAUACUCUCAGCCUGUUUUAUAAAUAACAAUAAUCUCAGCAUGAUUUAAAGAAGUGACAGCUAUUGUAUACUUCACCAAACGCCAUGAUGUUGUAUCUCCAUAUAUAAGUAAAUAGCCCAUUUGAGAUUGAAUUUUAUGUGGGUCAGAUAAAUACCUUUUCAGCGUAUGUUCAUCAAUGAACAAAUAUUUCAUUUGUCAAACACUUCGAGUAUACAUCCAGUAGUACGCAUUGUUAGCUGUCUCAUUAAAAACCUUGUCAGAAAAAUCUUGUGGGAUAAAACCUCAGCUAAGGAAAAAAGAGUGCAACAUGCGUAUUAUACUAGCAUCGUUGAAAACACCACUUUAUUCUUAUAAAUGAUGCUUCACAAUUCAUAAGUGCACCAACUGCACUAAAAUAUGGUAUUUACUAAUCAUUUUCAUGAGAUCAAAAUUGAUCUAUUUUCAAGUUAAGCGAUCUUUAUAAUCACGGGGUAUUCAAUAGAAUCGCUUUAUAGCAAUUUAAAUCCUUCAAAGAUUUUCAUAUAAAUUUGUCAUCUAGCUAGACAUGACAAUAAUUCAUUAUAAUUCAAGCUUUUUGAUAUUGUCAGGCUGAAACAAAUCUCAUUUCAUCCACUAUAGGAGAACAAUUCUCCUACAAUAAUGUCAUGAACUUUGUGAAAUCUUUAUGCCCCAAGGCACAAGUCAUAUCUUAUAUGUAACGAAUUUUACUUUCGAAUAGUAAAAUCAUUUGUACCCCCACUGGCAUUAUACCUCAGGUCUUUGGAUUAUGAGUUCAACUAUUCACUUUUCAAAUAAAACAAACUACUUGAAUUACAUACUUUUAUUUGGCCAAUAAUUUAUUUGUCCAGGCUUUUUGACAGAUUUGUAUCCAAGAUCCUCGAUACUAUUUAUAAUGUUGAGCGCUAUAUUAUAUCAAAGAUAUCAUCAACAAUUGUUUGAUAUCGGUUCCAAUAAGACAUAACUUAAUGAAGAUCUCUUCGUAUUCAUUACUUAUUCAGGUACCUGAACCUUUGUCAAAGUUUUAUGAAGUGCUAUGUCGAUACUCUUUCAAAGCACGUGCCUCAUUAUCAUGAUCAUCUUGAUCAUUUGCUCCUUUCCUUCUUCUAGGAGUUUUACCUUUGGAACCAAUUGGUCUAUCACGCUUCAGGCGUGUCAUAGACUCUGUUCUUUUACGGAUAUUUCAUUGGAGCAUUUUACAGUUGAAUCAUCACAUAGAGUCAGCAAACACAAUGCAACAUUUUUGCAAAUGAAUUAUCUCUUGAACUUCAAAUUCACAUAUAUAUUUUUUAUGAGGAUCUAGAUAAUUCAUUUCAGGAAUAAUUUUCAACUGUUAAUCAAUUCUCCUCCUAAUGUUAGGGAAUCUAACAUUUAUCCUCAACCUUGUCUUUGAAUUCAUAUUUGUGCAUUGUGAUGAAGCAAUUGCACCAUAUGCCGCACACUGAAAUUUUUAGAUGAAAAUUAUUUGGUUCUUGACCUUGAACCAAUAGUGAUAGGGGAGCCUUGUUGACUUGAUGCAAGAAAACAUUUUGAAAAGUUUUGAUAAUAUGAAAAAAUUAAAAAUUUUCUCCAUAUCAAACAUAGUCUUAAUAAUGUUUUGCUAAAAGGGUGUAAAUUGCAUGUUGGAACCAUAAAAAAAUGGAGGGAUUAACAGAUGCAAUACAAGUUACAAGUCAAAAGGCUGUGAAAAGUAAAAAACAAAACCAAAUUAAUGUUUCUCCUCUGAACUAAUACCCAACUCUUCCACCCUAUAUGAAUUUUGCUUAUUUUAUUUCUUCUUUUUAUCUCCUUAAAUGUGUUGAGGAAAAUCCCUAACAAAUAAACUAUUUUGUCCCAAAAUUUAUUAGUCAAAUAUCCAUACACGACCUUCACAAGAGUGACAUUAUAUCUUGAGCCUUGAGGUCAUCAUAGUGCAAGUGACGUGAAAUGAAGUACACCUAAAGAGUGAGUUGUAAAUGAAUUUUGUAUUGGUUCGGAGUUAAAGAGUUAAAAACACAUUUAAAUUAUAUCAAUUUUUUGAGUUUUAUAUCUAAAUUACUGGGAGUGUGAGUUUUCUACCUGAAGUAUCACCCAAUUAUUAGUGAAACACACCUUGAUUAAUUUUACUAUAUAAUCAUUUGAAUAUAAUAAAUUUCAUAUUUUGAGAAAUACAUUAGGUUGUGACGACUAUAGAAAAUAAUAAGGAUAAAAUAAACAAAAAUGAUAAAUUAUAUCUUAAAUUUCUAUACUAGACAAGUAAAGUUAAACACUAUUUAAAGACGGAUGAUGAGAGUACAUAUUACAACAGGAAAAACUUAUCUCAGAGAGUGUUAAAGUUAGUAAACUAACCAUACAAGUGAAAAGGACUAAUCACAAUAUUUUUUGGAUUCCUAUUCACCCUCAAACUUAAUUGAGCCCGGCCCCAAGUUCAAGAUGCUGCAAAUCUAAAGAACACAAGUCAUUAAUAAUAAUGAUAGCUUAAUUACUCCAAGAAGAUAUACAUAUACCUCAAUUAUCAAAGGCUGGAAUCAAAUUCUUCAAAUCAUUUUAAGAAUAAACACUAUGUAGGAGAAUAAUUAGCUCUAUUAAGAAUAUAACAACGAUGUUGUUUCGAAUUUAGUAUAUGAAAAGAUAAUAUUAUUAUCAAAAAAACCCUUCUCAUUCAUAAAAUGAAUAUUCCAAGAUUUUCAAAAAUAUUGUCUUGAUAGAUCCACCUUCUUAGAUAAUAAUACAAGUUGACUCUUAUAGAUUGCGUAGGAGUCUCAAAAGGAAUUUAUCAUCCCGCGAGUGGCACUCCAUUCAUUUCUAAUUAUCGAUUAAAUAACGAGUCAAACUUUAGUAAUCUUAUUUUGGCUAUUGUUUUUCUCCCUUAUAUGUUUUGACACUUUAAAUUUAUCUAUUUAAACUUAACUCAUUAAGUUAUAUUUGGGGUACUCUUUUCUCUUGAUUAACCUCUUUAGACCUCUAAUUUUGCUCCAAAUUAACUCGUUGAUUCCCCACCCUCACCCCACAAAAACACAAUCCCCCCGCCUUCUCCAUGCCAACUUUUUAAUAUGUUAAGCCACUUUAUCUUAAGAGAAAAAAAAUUAAGAGAAUCAUCAAUCAAUAUGUGUAACACCCUGCACCUUCGGGCUAGAAUUUAAAACGUCGUUCCUAUGCGUAUAGAUCUAAACUAAAUAAUUCCAUGUUAAUAUAUGUGUGGUGAUCAAUCCUAUAGUGUGGGAAUACCUUUGAAAAUGAAUUGUGGUCACAAAAAUCCCCUAACUCUAAGACGAGUUGAAAACAUUUCUAUCGAUUUAGUUUUAGUGGACGUUUCAACUUGAGUCGAUUUCCAUCGAAUAUUACUCCUAUAAUAUGAUGAUUUAGAGGGCCUACUAUAUAUCAAACUAAAUCUCUUUGAAUAUUCUUUCCAACGCCACCGAUCGUUCGUCAAUCCUAGUUCGGGGUAAAAAGUAAUGAGUGUUUGAAUGAGACACUGUCCAGACUAUGCGAUGGGGCAUGCGACGCCCACUUAAGGCUAUGCCAUGGGCUGUGCGUCGCCCAGCUUAGCUUGUGUUAUGGGUUGUGCAUCACCUACCUUGGGUAAAGCAGCGUAAAAGCUCCAUUUUAGUAUUAUUUAAGGGCAAUACGAUCCUUUCACGUCCCAUAAUAGUCCCUAAAUAUUUAUAGCCAAAUUACAAUCCUAAUGCACGUUAAUUCCUCCUCAAAAAUCCCUAAUUCAUCUUCUAAGUUACAAAAGAAGAAAAGCAACUUAGAGUUUGCUCUUUCAAGAUUAAAGGUUUGAUCUUUUCACGAAUUCUUCGUCAAUUAAGGUACGUAGGAUUUUCCUAAACUAUAUGGGCAUGGUGAAAUCCUUUUAAUAAUGUUUAAAUGUCGAGAAAUCAUGAAUUUACAAAGGGUUUUGAAUUUACAUUUACAAUGAUGUAUUGUGAAACCUUCUUGGAAAUAUUAUUUUGGUCUUGAGAUCUUCCCCUUGAAACUUGAUUGUUACUCAUAUAUAUACUCCCUCUCUUGUAAUGAACUAUUCGAUUUCAUAUUGAGAAAGCAUGAUAGAAUUUUCUUCACUAUUGUGAAUUGAAUUGGUAUUUGUGAUGAUAUAAAGAGAGUCUGAUUUCCUUAAUUGUAUAAACGAAAGUGACGAUUUAAAGAAUUUCAUAGUUUGUUACAAGAUACAUGACUACCGGGUGUUUGUGAAUUGAAAUUGAGGAUAGUUGCCUAAGUUUCCAUGAAUUUCACUAUACGCAUCCUCUUGUAUUGUUUGAAUGAUUUGGUGGUCUUAAUAUCAUUUUUCAUGAAAAGAGUCGUAACAUGCUAAUGUAUGGCUAAGAAGUAUGACUUGCAAGUCUUGGUAUGACGAUACCAAACAGAUGAAUGCCAUAGCAAAUUCAGAACAGACUAAAAUACAGAUUUUUAGAUUUUGAAUUCAGAAAGAUGCAUGUUUAGGAAAAAAAGUUCAAAAUGGGCUUAAUUAAAGAGAGUUAGAUGGUUACCCAAAGAAAGUACGAGUUGAAAGACUCAAUGCUAGAAAUCGUGAUUUGCCGACACGGGAUGAUGGUACCAUACUUUUUGGUCUUGUGUACCUUGAUUCAUGUCAUCAUAAUUUGGAACUAUGGUUAGGAGCCAUGCUAUGUGGUCUUGUGCACUACCAUGAUAUGUUGAUUUGAUUGGGGAUCAUGGCACCAUGUUGUGUGGUCUUGCGUGUCUCUCCUUAUAGAUACUCCAAUCCUUGCGGUAAACUUGGAUUGGGGGCUUGGCCGUCGAGUCAAGGGCGGAUUCCAUAUAGCCCAUGCUAUUACAGAUUGUAGGGUGUACCAUCUAGCUCAGAAGUAACAUAAAAAGUGGUUCAUGAUUUCAAAGAAAUAUUUCAAAGUCUUUUAAGUAUGCCCAUGUGUUUUCCUAUAUUGUAUGUUAACUGUUUUAUGAUUUGCUCUCACUUAUGUUGUAUAAAAGUAUAUUAUUUUGAAUUGCUCUACGUAUCAGUACUUUUGUAUUGACCUCUCUAUAUUUUAGGAUCUGAGGCUCAGUCCUGGGGUCCCACUAAGAAGUAGAUCAUUGUCGGAUGAUUGGAGUUGGUGAGUCUACCUUAUUUCGGAAGGUCUUAUCUCGUGUGAUGAUUUCAUUAUUUUUAGUUCAUGGUCCUACCAAGGGCCUUGUCCCAAUUUCAGACAAAAGUUGUUGUCAUGUUGUUAGAUAUUUCGCAGACUGGUGUCAUGUAUUUUGAAUGUUACGAGCCUCAUUUUGUAUUGUCUAUUUGAAUUAAGAAGUUGACCAUAUUUCCAUUUUGUUAUGUCUUCCGCAGUUCUGUAUAGUUUAUGAAUUAUACAUAUGAUUUCCAGUUAGAAGGGCUCUCAGGCUUUCAUGGUUUGGGAUGCCUAUCACGGUCAGGGCCCCAGUUUGGGUCAUGAAAAACUUGGUAUCAGAGCACGGUUCAUGGUCUCAGGGUGUCUGCAAAAUCGUGUCUAGUAAAGUCUUGCUUAUGGGUUUGUUUUGCACCAUACUUAUAAUCAAGGGGCUAUCGGGCAUUUAGGAGUUGUUUCUUAUUCUUUCAUCCUCUAGUUCGUGCUAUAGCGUCGUCUAUAAGAAAGUUAUCCAAAUUUAACUUGCUUUAAUUUCAUAGGCCAUGCCUCAUUGUCGAGACGAUACAAGCCUAAGAGACUAGCUUCCCCAGCGAUGUGGUUCUCUCUGAUUGAGUCAUAAACGAUUAUGAAAUUGUACAAGGACUGGAGAGGACUCCAUACGUUCUUCAAAGUGUAUUGAUUUAAGCUUAUACCCCUAUCUACAUCAAUCGUACGUUUGAGCCUGAGUUAUGGAGUGUAUUCAAUCUUCUUUUAUAAAACCCUUGUUGUAGAUGUCAUGCAUAAUGGUAAUAAUGUGUGGCAGAAUGUUGAAAUAUUAUUUCCACCCGAGUAGUAGUAUGUGAUAAAGUGUUAUAACCUAUGAGUUGUAAGAUGGUCCAGAAGUUAGUGACAUGAAGUCAGAGGCUUAGAAGUCAAAAUGAAGGUGACUUUUGCGUAAAGAAGCUAGUUUAGUUGUAUAACCUUCAAUUGAGGGGUAGGUUAUCAUUUUAUAGUGAUAGACUAGUGUGGUAGCAAUAAUUGUAGAUUGUAUGAUAAUCUGUGAAGGAAAUGGCUAGCUAUGAUUAUUAUUUAUUCGAAAUAGGAGGAUUUCAGAAUGGAUAGUUAUGGUGGUUGUAGAAAUUAUUUUUACGUUAUGAAUGGAGAUGGGUAGAUUAGUCAAUAAAUUAUGGGUAGAGACUCAUUGACGUAAGUGGAAUUCGAAGAUAGUCUAAAUGUAUGCUUGGGUAAGUAAGUGUGAUGUGAGAAAUUAGAAUAUGUUGAUAAGAUUGGAAUGAGUUAUAUUACAAGAAUUAGGAUUGACUAGCCCUAGUAUGUGACUUUGCCCCCUUGAUUGUCUUUUCUCUAGUCGUUGAAGCUAGUACUACGUGUGAGAAGGUAUGUAGUAGAUUUAUAGGUGUUACAGUAAUGUCGUAGAGAGGAUGAACUUAUAGGUCAUAGUUAAAUGAAGUAAUAGACUUAGGUUGAUAUUUCUAUUUGAUGGACUAGUAUAAUAUGCGGCAUGCUUCAUCGGUGUUACGUGAUUGGUGUUAGAUAAUAGGCUUGAACUUUAGAUGUGAAUUGUGGUGGUGAGAAUAGUAGUUUAAGAUUAAUGAUGUAUGUUUCGUGGGAAAGAACUAGUAGGCUUGAUGCAAUUGGUGAAAGAGCCUAGGUUGAUAAUUUAUGAAAAGUUUAAGUGGAUAUUGUGAGGUAUAUGUAUACAUGAGGACUAGCAUAAAAAAAAAUAAUGGAUUGUGGUUGAGUCAUUAAGUGGAUAAGGGCGCAGGUAUAUAAGGAUAAGUUGAACCCCGAGGUAGCAUGUUGUUAGAUAAGAUUUGAUGUGUAUGAGUGUCACGUGUACCUAGAUCAUAUUUUUGAAUUAUGUAGUAUGGAGAAGUCAGGGGAGUUGUGUAUAGCGUUAUCUAGAGUUGAAUUGAGGAAAUAUAGGUAGACAAUAUGUGCCUUUGGUAUAGUCUUACAAAUUUUAUUAUUUUGUAAGUUAUGUGAUAGAGGUCUAAUGUUAGAAUGUUAAGUAAUGGAGAGUGGAUUUUUAUAUGAUAAGGAGUGAGGAUGUGUAUACUCAUGAGACUGUGAGUUGUAGGUUGAUGGCUAUAGAGGAUAGCAAAAAAAUUAAGAGUAGCAUUCUUGGAAAGCAAUGCCUUUAGAGUAUAGUUAAAAAGGGGAAGUUUAGUGUUUAUGUGUAUGGUGAUACCCCAUUAUGUUGAGUGUUGUGCUUCUAGAUUUAAUGAGAAGAUAUGUCCUCAAGUUUAGUAGUGUGACUUUGCUCUAAGGGGGAGAUGAUGGAUUAAGGUAGUUCCCGAAUUUUCUUGUGGUGACAAGUUUCAUGUAAGAAUCAUGAUAAAACAAUUCUUAUUCAAGCAAGCUCCUCCUACUUCAAUUUGAAUGGACAUCUACCAAUGUCUUGUAUAAUCAAGUCUUGCCUAUGUCUAAGGUUUGAGAUCUCUAUGUAACUCAUGUCAUGUUCCGACCUCUAAACUAGAAGCAAUAAUGUCCCUCAAUGAAGCAAUAAUGUCCCUCAAUGAUCCAAUAUUCCAAGCUUCCAAGCUCUACGAUAUGUUGCUCAUGAUCCAUAAAAAAAAUUCAUGUCUCACAUAAUGCUUGGUUCGAAGAAACUAUGUUUUCUAUACAUUACCGAUUCAUUUUAUGUCGGGAUUAGCCAAAGUGAUAAAUUUUAUGCUAACUCAUGAAAAAUUUCAGUUCUUUAAAUGAGUAUCAAUCGCUUCAAGUGGCAAUCCUUGUCUCAAUUAUUAACUACAGAAAUUUUGGCUUUAUGCUAAAUAGUUCAUGAUAUGUGCACCCAUGUUUCUCACUAUGGUCUGUCCAAGGAAAUCAUGUUGUGUUGUGUUUAUGCCGAACGACUCUUUACUUAUGAUCCAGAGACUUGAUAUAUGAAAUACUUCAUGUCUAUUGUACCGUAUCUUCACCUCAUGUCCCACCUUGAGUAAUGCAAUAAGUAUAAGUUAUGGUCUAAUAGUGUUACUUCCAUUCAUAACGUUUAUACUCGGGUCUAACAAUGACCCUCCGUAUGUUAGUAUAAUGGUGGUUGUGGAAGCAUAGUAGUGUGUUAGGUAGGGGAGUAGAUGCUUUUGAAGAUGGAAAAAAAUUGAUAUAAUUCUCGAGCUAAGGUUAUAGGUGAAAGGAAAAAGAAGGAGAUGAACUUUUGUUGUGUAAAAUAGCUAAGAGGCAGAAAUGUGAAAAAAAUAUUUAUGAGAGUGAUUGAAAUAAUUGGUCUUAUUGGGGAGAUCCAUGUAGUGGGUGUAGUAAUGAUUAGGCUUGAAUGUUGUAAUUGCUGAAAACACAAACCUAUGUGCUAGCUGGUUAGUACUCUCUAAAUUAAAACCUGAGGGUGUUUGAUGGUAGUGAUAAGGCGAAGAAAUAUACUUAAAAGGGAUGUAAAGUACAGGGUCCUGUAGCUUAAGUUAGCACCUUUUAACUUUGAGUUAGGCUUCAACAUAGAAGUACUAAGUAGCGGGACUCAAAUUCUUGUGGCUAGAUGUGUGAUUGGAGAAUUGUAAGUUGGAGAGUAUAAAGUAUGCUAUUUAUUGUUUGGGGUGUAGACGAUUAGUGCCUCUAUGUUUAAGUUUAUUCGUGGUACCUUAUAAGGUAGAGAAUGCUUCUAAUCCUAUCUUUCGCGAAAUCCUAUUUCAUGAUUAGUACCAAUGUAAAUCAGGCUUAUGAUCACCAAAUAAACUCAUACCUUGGGUUGCGAUGAUAAUGAAUCAUGAAACUCAUGUGCAAGAUCAUCCCUAUGUAAAGUUUCAUUACCUCAUGCUUCGUGCUUAUGCAUUUCAUUAGCGGUUAUAAUGAAGCUCUUUUGAUGCCUUUGCAUAUUUUUUUGUUAAGGAAAAAUGUUCAAUGCGAGGUUACGUUCCUUAUUCCAUUCUUGUGGAGCUUCAACAAGUCCCUACCCAUCAUUUGGGGAUGAAUGAUCCCAAGGAGGAGAUAAUGUAACACCUCGCACCUUUCGGCUAGAAUUUAAAACGUCAUUCCUAUAUGUAUAGAUCCAAACUAAAUGAUUCUAGGUCAAUAUAUGUAUGGUGAUCAAUCCUAUAGUGUGGGAAUACCUUUGAAUAUGAAUGGAGGUCACAAAAAUCUCCUAACUCUAAGACGAGUUGAAAACAUUCCUAUCGAUUAAGUUUUAGUAAAUGUUUCAACUUGGGUCAACUUUCAUCAACUAUUACUCCUACAAUAUGAUGAGUUAUAGGGCCUACUAUAUAUCAAACUAAAUCUCUUUGAAUAUUCUUUCCAACGCCACCGACCGUUCGUCAAUCCUAGUUCGGGGUAAAAAGUAAUGAGUGUUUGAAUGAGACACUAUCCAGACUAUGCGAAGGGGCAUGCGACACCCACUUAAGGCUAUGCCAUGGGUUGUGCGUCACCUAUCUUGGCUUGUGCAAUGGGUUGUACGUCGCACACCUUGGGUAAAGCAGCGUAAAAGCUCCAUUUUAGUAUUAUUUAAGGGCAAUAUGGUCCUUUCACAUCCCAUAACAGUCCCUAAAUAUUUUUAGCCAAAUUACAACCCUAAUACACAUUAAUUCCUCCUCAAAAAUCCCUAAUUCAUCUUCUAAGUCACAAAAGGAGAAAAGAAACUUACGGUUUGCUCUUUCAAGAUUAAAGGUUUGAUCUUUUCACGAAUUCUUUGUCAACUAAGGUACGUGUUAGAGUUGUGACCCAAAUUUUAUUGAUCUAGCCCAGAAAGUUUCACGGUACGACCCAUAUUUGUGAUUUUCAAUGUGUCUAUGGUGGUAGCAUAGGGAUCGGGCCGAUAGGCCCGUGGACCUUUAUGUUUUUUGGGCCUAGGACUUAUUUUUAUGCACAUAUUAUAUAAGUGCAUUUACUGGGUUGUUUUGUGCAUUCAGAAAAUUUAGCUUUCUCCACAUUGUACUCUCUCUUCAUUAUAGUGAAACCUCAUCUGCCUCUGCCCGUAGUUUUUUCCGUUCUUGUUUUCUUUCUGCUUGUGGUUUGCUUUAUUUCUACCUGAUUUCUAACAAACUGGUAUCAGAGCCCGUUUGAAUAUUUUCUCGAGGGUGGCAACCAUGAAUUAUGAUAUACCAUUGUUGGAUCGCAACAUUAGCUUUUUAUUAUGGUAGGUUAAGAUGCGGGUUGUGCUCGGGCAGAUGAUUUGGAUGAUGCUUUAUUAGGGUUUAAGAAGAUGCCCUUAUCGUGGAUGGACGAGGAUAAACGACGUAAGGAUUGGAAGGCUCUACUCAAAUCCACUUUUAUUUAUCCAAUCAGAUUCUACAGGAUGUUUUGAAGGAGACCACAGCUGUUGCAUUAUGGUUGAAACUGGAAUCGUUGAGUAUGACGAAGAACCUAACAAGUAAGUUGCAUCUCAAGUAACGACUUUAUUCCCAUCCCAUGUAUGAGGGUACAUCCUUGGAAGAUUACCUAUCUGUAUUUAAGAAAAUUAUCUCUGAUUUAGAGACUCUGGAGGUUAAGUAUGAUGAUGAAGAUCUAGGGUUGAUUUUGUUGUAUUCGCUGCCUAUAUCAUACAUGACCUUUAGGGAUACGAUUUUAUAUAGUUGUGAUACCCUAACGAUUGAUGAAGUCUAUGAUGCGUUGUUCUCUAAGACGAAGAUGAAGCAUCUUGUGAAUGGGUCGGAGACUCAAGGAGAUGGUCUCAUUGUUCGAGAAGGAACGACUGGUGAAAGGAAUUAUGGGGGUGAUGACAAGAAUAGGUCGAAAUCCAAAAAUAGAAAUAAAACCUAUAAUUACUGCAAGAAGAAGGGCCAUAUAAAAUUCGAGUGUUGGAAGCUACGGAAUAGAGAGAAAAGAGAAGCUCCAAAAUCGAAGAAAAAACAACCAGAGAAGUCCAGUGAAGCUAGUUUUGUGGAAGAUGGCAGUAGUGAUGGAGAACUCUUGGUAGUUUCUGAUGGUAACUCCAAACCCUAUGAGGAUUAGAUUUUUAAUUCAGCUUGCACAUUUCAUAUGUGUUAUAAUCAGGAUUGGUUUACAAUAUAUGAAACAGUUUCUAAAGGUGCUGUGUUGAUGGGAAAUAACACACCUCGUAAGAUAGUUGGUAUUGGAACAAUCAGGAUCAAUAUAUUUGAUGGGGUUGUGAGGAAACUUGGUGAUGUACGAUAUGUCCCAUACUUGAAGAGAAAUCUUAUUUCCUUAAGUAUCCUUGAUUUGAAAGGUUAUAGGUACACUGGUAAAGGUGGAGUCCUCAAGGUUACUAAAGGUGCUCUUAUUGUGAUGAAGGGACAGAGAAAGUCUACAAAUUUGUAUUUCCUGCAAGGCUCUACUGUUACAGGUGAUGCAGCCAUUUCUACCUCUUCUCUAUCAGAAAGUGACGUUGCUAAACUUUGACAUAUGCGCCUGGGGCAUAUGAGUGAAAACGUGAUGGCUAAACUAAGUAGGAGAGGACUUCUUGAUGGGCAGAGUAUUAUCAAAUUGGAGUUCUGUGAGCACUGCAUUUUCGGGAAGAAGAAAAGAGUCAAAUUAACUAAAGGCAUCCACAUAACUAAGGGCACACUUGAUUACAUUUAUUCUGAUCUAUGGGGUCCUGCUAGAGUACCUUCUAGAGGAGGUGUUAAUUACUUGUUGACUAUUAUUGAUGACUAUUCCAGAAAAGAUUAGGUGUUCUUUCUGAAGUAAAAGAAUGAUGUGUUGCCUACUUUCAAGGAGUGAAAGACUAUGAUUGAAAACCAGAUAGGGAUGCAGGUAAAAUACCUUCGGGUUGAUAAUGGUUUAGAGUUCUGUUCUAAUGAAUUUAAUGCUUUGUGCAAGUCAAAAGGAAUUGUGAGGCACUUGACAGUUUGUCAUACUCCACAGCAGAAUGGUAUGGCUAAACGAAUGAAUAGGACUAUAAUGGAGAAGAUGCAUUGUAUGCUCUCUAAUACUAGUUUACCCAAGUCUUUUUUGGCUGAAUUUGCUUCCACUACUUACCUUCUUAUUAACUGCUCUCUCUCAGUCGCGAUUAAUAAAAUGACUCCACAAGAGGUAUGGUAUGGUUCUUCUACUAGUUAAUUUGAUUUGAGGAUAUUUGGAUGUCCUGCAUAUGCUUAUGUUGAUAAUGGAAAGUUGGAACGUAGAUCUGUCAAGUGCUUAUUUAUGGGUUAUAAGUCUGAUGUUAAAGGUUGUAAACUUUGGUGUCCAGAAAGCAUACAGGCUAUAAUUAGCAGGGAUGUUGUGUUUGAUGAAACUACCAUGCUUCGGGCUCCCUCUGAAUCUAGUGCUUCACCCCUAGAUGAGCUUAGUGACAUGAAUCAGCAAAAUUCAAGGACCCAUGUUGAAUUGCAGAUUAGAGCAGAGUCUACACCAGUGACUACUUCUCAGUCUAGCCUGAAGAUACAGAGUGAUACUAUUUCUUCUUCACCACCAGUGGUGCCACAAUAUUCUAUUGCUAAAGACAGGCCUAGAAGAGAUAUUAGACCUCCUCAAAAUUAUGUUGAAGUUGAUUUGGUUGCUUAUGCAUUGAGUGUAGCAGAAGGUAUUGAUUUCGAUGAAGAUUCUUUUUCUUACUCAGAGGCAGUUAGUUGUGAUGAUUUUGGUCGAUGGAUGAUUUCUAUGCAGGUUGAGAUGGAAUCACUUCAUAAGAAUGGCACAUGGGAUCUGGUGAGAUUGCCAAAAGAUAAUAAAGUUAUCCGUUGUAAAUGGGUAUUUAAAAAGAAAGAAGGAACAUCGGGAGUUGAAGAUGCUAGGUACAAAGCAAGACUAGUUGCUAAAGGUUACAGUCAGGUUCCAGGUAUCAACUACACAGAUGUGUUUUCUCCAAUUGUACCCAUGCAUAAUCUUGAGCUUGAGAACUUGGAUGUCAAAACUGCAUUCUUACAUGGAGAACUUAAGGAGGACAUCUAUAUGCAGCAACCAGGGGUCUUUGUAGUCUCAGGAAAGAAAGACUAUGAAUGCUUGCUGAAAAAGUCUCUUUAUGGCUUAAAGUAGUCGCCCAGGCAGUGGUAUAUGAGGUUUGAAUCUUUUAUGACCUCUCAUAUGUUUUAGAGGAGCAGCUAUGAUAGUUGUGUCUACUUCAAGGAAGUAAGUAAUGGUUCAUUCGUGUAUCUUUUCUUGUAUGUUGAUGAUAUGUUGAUUGCAGCAAAAGAUAUAAAAGGAUAAUAAAAGUCAAAGUCCAACUCAGUAAGGAGUUUGAUAUGAAGGAUCUAGGAGCAGCAAAGAAGAUUCUUGGCAUGGAGAUUCUAAGGGAUAGAAAAAAUUGUAAGUUAUAUUUGAUUCAGAAAGAAUAUAUUAAAAAUGUGCUUCACAGGUUCAAUAUGCAAAAUUCCAAUCCUGUUAGUACUCCAUUGGCAUCUCAUUUCAAACUCUCAGACAUUUUAUCUCCAAAAACAAGUGAUGAGUGUGACUAUAUGUCUCGAGUUCCAUACUCUAGUGUUGUUGGGUCUCUUAUGUAUGCGAUGGUGUAUUCCCGAUCAGAUUUAUCUUAUGUCGUUAGUACAGUUAGAAGAUACAUAGAAAAUCCUAGCAAAGAACAUUGGAAAGUAGUUUAGUGGAUUUUCAGAUACUUGCAUGGAUUUGCUAAUGUUUGUUUACAGUUUGGGCAAAAUAGAGAUAGAGUAAUCGGGUAUGUUUAUUUUGAUUUUGUAGGAGAUCAUGAUAAAAGGAGAUCCCUUAUCGGCUAUGUUUUCACCAUUGGUGAUUGUGCUAUUAGUUGAAAAGUUACCUUAUAGACUACGGUUGCUUUGUCAACUACUAAGGCAGAGUAUAUCAUUAUUACAGAGGCUUUCAAGAAAGUAAUUUGGUUGAAGGGUCUGUUUGGUGAACUUAGCAGAGACUUAUAUAUUACUACAAUCUUUUGCGACAGUCAGAGUGUUAUCUUCCUUAUGAAAGAUUAGAUAUUUCAUGAGAAGACAAAGCACAUCGAUGUUCAAUAUCAUUUUAUGCAUGAAAUUAUUGCUCGUGGUGAUAUUGUGGUGAGCAAGAUUAGUACUCAUGAUAAUCCUACUGAUAUGAUGACCAAGACACUAUUAAGUGUCAAGUUUGAGAAUUGCUUGGACUUGGUUAGUGUUAGCUGUUAAGAUGUGCCGUUAGGGGAUUUUGUGGAAAAGGUGCAGAGUCUGUCUUGAAAUGGAUUUGAGUUCUGAAAUAGAAUUCGUGUCAAGGUGGAGAUUGUUAGAGUUGUGACCCAAAUUUUUUUGAUCUGGGCCAGAAAGUUUCGUAGUGAAACCCAUGUUUGUGAUUUUCAAUAGGGUCUGUAGUGGUAGCUAGGGAUCGGGCCGAUAGGCCCGUGGACCUUUAUAUUUUUUGGGCCAAGGACUUAUUUAUAUGCACAUAUUAUAUAAGUGCAUUUAGUGGGUUGUUUUAUGUAUUCAAAAAAUUCAACCUUCUCCACAUUGUACUCUCUCUCCAUUAUAGUGAAACCUCCUCUGCCUCUGCACGUGGUUUUUUUCGCAAGGGUUUCCACGUAAAUCUUGUGUGUUGUUCUUGUUUUAUUUCUGCUUGCAAUUUGCUUUGUUUCUGUGCAAUUUCUAGCAGUACGUGGGUUUUUUUUAAACUAAAUGGGCAUGGUGAAAUCAUUUUAAUAAUGUUUAAAUGUCAAGAAAUCAUGAAUUUACGAAGGGUUUUGAAUUUACAUUUACAAUGAUGCAUUGUGAAACCUUCUUGGAAAUAUUGUUUUGGUCUUGAAGCCUUCCCCUUGAAACUUGAUUGUUACUUGUAUAUAUAUAUAUAUAUAUAUAUGUAUGUAUGUAUGUAUGUAUGUAUAUAUAUAUAUGUAUGUAUGUAUGUAUGUAUGCAAUAGAUGUUUUGAAAUUUGAAUCGAGAGCAUGAAGAUUAUUGCAUCUUAAAUUUGAAUCGAGAGCAUGAAGAUUUAUACUCUCUCUCUUAUUAUGAACUAUUCGAUUUCAUAUUGAGAAAGAAUGAUGGAACUGUGUUCACUAUUAUGAAUUGACUUGGUAUUUGUGAUGAUAUGAAAAGAGGGCGAUUUACUUAAUUGUAGAAAUGAAAGUGACGAUUUAAAGAAUUUCAUGGUUUGUUACAAGAUACAUGACCACCACAUGUUUGUGAAUUGAAAUUGAGGAUAUUGGCCUAAGUUUUCAUGAAUUUCACUAUACGCAUCCUCUUGCAUUGUUUGAAUGAUUUGAUUGUCUUAACAUCGUUUUGCAUGAAAAGAGUUGUAACAUGAUAAUGUAUGACUGAGAAGUAUGACUUGUAAGUCUUGGUAUGAUGAUACCAAAGAGAUGAAUGCCAUAGCAGAUUCAGAAUAGACUAAAAUACAGAUUUUUAGAUUUUGAAUUCAGAAAGAUGCAUGUUUAGAAAAAAAAGUUUAAAAUGGGCUUAAUUAAAGAGAGUUAGAUGGUUACCCAAAGAAAGUACGAGUUGAAAGACUCAAUGCUAGAAACCGUGAUUUGCCGACACGGGAUGAUGGUACCAUACUUUUUGGUCUUGUGUACCUUGAUUCAUGUCAUCAUAAUUUGGAACUAUGGUUAGGAGCCAUGCUAUGUGGUCUUGUGUACUACCAUGAUAUGUUGAUUUGAUUGGAGAUCAUGGCACCAUGUUGUGUGGUCUUGCGUGUCUCUCCUUAUAGAUACUCCAAUCCUUGCGGUAAACUUGGAUUGGGGGCUUGGCCGUCGAGUCAAGGGCGGAUUCCAUAUAGCCCAUGAAAUUACAGAUUGUAGGGUGUACUAUCUAGCUCUGAAGUAACAUAAAGAGCUGUUUAUAAUUUCAAAGAAAUGUUUCAAAGUCUUUUAAGUAUACCCAUGUGUUUUCCUAUAUUGUAUGUAAACUGUUUUAUUAAUUGCUCUCACUUAUGUUGUAUAAAAGUACAUUAUUUUGGAUUGCUCUGCGUACCAGUACAUUUAUAUUGACCCCUCUAUAUUUCAGGAUCCGAGGCUCAUCCCGGGUCCCGUUAAGCAGCAAAUCAUUGUCAGACGAUUGGAGUUGGUGAGUCUCCCUUAUUUUGGAAGGCCUUGUCUCAUGUGAUG
rnacentral:lncRNA from 1 species